rnacentral:snRNA from 12 species
UGGCUUUCUUGAUGGGUGGGACAUCAUCACCAGGAUGAUCAGUUUCCCAGAAUCAGACUCAGUUUAUGUGCUCUGGGUGUGAUGGCUCUUCUGACUUUCUCAAAUGUAGGAAACUCAGCUGCAUAAUCUGUGGUGAAGGGGGACUGAAUUUAUGUUCAAUUCCAAA